UAAUGACACUUCAUUUUCAAAGCUACAAGC
rnacentral:piRNA from 1 species